rnacentral:rRNA from 1 species
AUACGGAGGGUGCGAGCGUUAGUCGGAAUUACUGGGCGUAAAGCGUACGUAGGCGGUUGGUUAAGUUAGAUGUGAAAGCCCCGGGCUUAACCUGGGAACUGCAUUUAAAACUGACGAACUAGAGUUGAGUAGAGGGGAGUGGAAUUUCAGGUGUAGCGGUGAAAUGCGUAGAGAUCUGAAGGAACACCAGUGGUGAGGGCGACUCCCUGGACUCGAACUGACGCUGAGGUACGAAAGCGUGGGUAGCAAACGGGAUUAGAAACCCUAGUAGUCC